rnacentral:rRNA from 1 species
UUCUAUGGCCAUACCACUCUGAAUGCACUCCAUCUCCCCUGAUCUUGGAAGCUUGGCAGGGUCAGGCCUGGUUAGUACUUGGAUGGGAAUAUGAAUUCAAUAGACAUUAGAAG